rnacentral:rRNA from 1 species
CGCCUGACUCCGCUGGCAGGCGUGCAUUAACACAUGCAAGUCGAACGAUGACUUCUGUGCUUGUGAACAGAAUGAUUAGUGGCGAACGGGUGAGUAACACGUGAGUAACCUGCCCUUAACUUCGGGAUAAGCCUGGGAAACCGGGUCUAAUACCGGAUACGACCUCCUGGCGCAUGCCAUGGUGGUGGAAAGCUUUAGCGGUUUUGGAUGGACUCGCGGCCUAUCAGCUUGUUGGUUGGGGUAAUGGCCCACCAAGGCGACGACGGGUAGCCGGCCUGAGAGGGUGACCGGCCACACUGGGACUGAGACACGGCCCAGACUCCUACGGGAGGCAGCAGUGGGGAAUAUUGCACAAUGGGCGAAAGCCUGAUGCAGCGACGCCGCGUGAGGGAUGACGGCCUUCGGGUUGUAAACCUCUUUCAGCAGGGAAGAAGCGAAAGUGACGGUACCUGCAGAAGAAGCGCCGGCUAACUACGUGCCAGCAGCCGGGUAAUAG